rnacentral:siRNA from 1 species
GCCGAGGGUGAAGAGUAUGUAAGA